rnacentral:rRNA from 1 species
UACGCAGGGGGCUAGCGUUGCUCGGAAUCACUGGGCGUAAAGCGCACGUAGGCGGAUUGCUAAGUCAGGGGUGAAAUCCUGGAGCUCAACUCCAGAACUGCCUUUGAUACUGGCGAUCUUGAGUCCGGGAGAGGUGAGUGGAACUGCGAGUGUAGAGGUGAAAUUCGUAGAUAUUCGCAAGAACACCCGUGGCGAAGGCGGCUCUCUGGAACGCAACUGACGCUGAGACGCGCAAGCGUGGGGAGCAAACAGG